AUGUGGAAGUUGAAGAUAGCAGAAGGAGGAGAAGGGUUGAUAUCAGUGAAUAAUUUCAUAGGACGUCAACACUGGGAGUUUGAUCCAAAUGCUGGAACACCAGAAGAACACCAUGAGAUUGAGAAACUACGCAAUCAGUUCACAAAAAAUCGAUUUUCCAUCAAACAAAGUGCUGAUCUCCUCAUGAGAAUGCAGAACUUAAGUACAAGUCUUUAA